UACGUAGGGAGCAAGCGUUGUUCGGAUUUACUGGGCGUAAAGGGCUCGUAGGCGGUUUGUCGCGUCGGGAGUGAAAUCCACUGGCUUAACUGGUGGCUUGCUUUCGAUACGGGCAGACUGGAGGUAUGCAGGGGAGAACGGAAUUCCUGGUGUAGCGGUGAAAUGCGCAGAUAUCAGGAGGAACACCGGUGGCGAAGGCGGCAUCCUGGACCGGUAUUGACGCUGAUGAGCGAAAGCCAGGGGAGCAAACGGG
rnacentral:rRNA from 1 species